rnacentral:rRNA from 1 species
AAGUCGAACGGAGUUCGAUACCCAAAGCCUUCGGGCCGCGGGGAUCGGAUUCAGUGGCGGACGGGUGAGUAACACGUGAGUAACCUGCCUAUUUCCGGGGGAUAACAACGGGAAACCGUUGCUAAUACCGCAUAUACUGGUCGAGCGGCAUCGCUUGACCAGAAAAGAUUCAUUGGGGAUAGAGGGGCUCGCGUCCGAUUAGUUAGUUGGUGGGGUAAAGGCCUACCAAGACCGCGAUCGGUAGCCGGACUGAGAGGUUGAACGGCCACAUUGGGACUGAGACACGGCCCAGACUCC